AGCGAACGCUGGCGGCAGGCUUAACACAUGCAAGUCGAGCGCCCCGCAAGGGGAGCGGCAGACGGGUGAGUAACACGUGGGAACGUACCCUUCAGUUCGGAACAACCCAGGGAAACUUGGGCUAAUGCCGGAUACGUCCGUAAGGAGAAAGAUUUAUCGCUGAAGGAUCGGCCCGCGUCUGAUUAGCUAGUUGGUGAGGUAAUGGCUCACCAAGGCUACGAUCAGUAGCUGGUCUGAGAGGAUGAUCAGCCACAUUGGGACUGAGACACGGCCCAAACUCCUACGGGAGGCAGCAGUGGGGAAUAUUGGACAAUGGGGGCAACCCUGAUCCAGCCAUGCCGCGUGAGUGAUGAAGGCCCUAGGGUUGUAAAGCUCUUUUAGCGGGGAAGAUAAUGACGGUACCCGCAGAAAAAGCCCCGGCUAACUUCGUGCCAGCCGCCGCGGUAAAAC
rnacentral:rRNA from 1 species